UAAUAAGUAUAGGAACAGGCGGUCGGCUAUUGCCGGCGUAGCCGGGCAAGUUAAGCAGCAGGUUAAGCCUGCGGGACCUAU
rnacentral:ncRNA from 2 species